rnacentral:tRNA from 1 species
AUACCUAGAAACAUUAAAUUUCCUUAACAUUUUCAGUGUCAUGCUCUAUAUAAGCUACCUAAGUA